rnacentral:rRNA from 1 species
UACAGAGGGUGCGAGCGUUAAUCGGAAUUACUGGGCGUAAAGCGCACGUAGGCGGACAUUUAAGUUGGAGGUGAAAGCCUUGGGCUCAACCCAAGAAUUGCCUUUGAUACUGGAUGUCUCGAGACCGGGAGAGGUGAGUGGAAUUCCGAGUGUAGAGGUGAAAUUCGUAGAUAUUCGGAAGAACACCAGUGGCGAAGGCGGCUCACUGGCCCGGUUCUGACGCUGAGGUGCGAAAGCGUGGGGAGCAAACAGG